rnacentral:piRNA from 1 species
UAGACAAUCAUGAAUGGAUUUAACAGGCAG